rnacentral:rRNA from 1 species
UACCCCGCUGGAUUUAAGCAUAUCAAUAAGCGGAGGAGAAGAAAGUAACAACGAUUCCCCCCAGUAACGGCGAGUGAAGAGGGAAGAGCUCAAGCCCUUAAUCUAAACUUUGGUUUCAAAGUUUCGAAUUGUAGUCUGAAGGUGUGUACUUCAGUCCUUUGCGCGGUCUAAGUCCCCUGGAAAGGGGCGCCAGAGAGGGUGAGAGUCCCGUGUUUGGCCAGCGCACAGGUCCUUGUACUAGCCAGAGAGUCGGGUUGCUCGGGAUUGCAGCCUGAAUGGGAGGUAAAUUUCUCCUAAAGCUAAAUACUGGCGAGAGACCGAUAGCGAACAAGUACCGUGAGGGAAAGAUGCAAAGAACUUUGAAAAGAGAGUUAAAAAGUACCUGAACUUGUUGGGGGGAAAGCGAUUGCUUCCAGUGUGCGCGCGCCAAUUCAGCCUUCGGGUGUACUUUGGCGUGCGCGGUCAGGGUGGGUUUGGCGCGGCGUUGACGUCCCCCGCGAGGCCUUCGGGCAACCGGGUGGUCAGUGCGUCGCUCUGGACCGAGGCUCGCUCUGCGGCGGGGUCGGCGGAUCGUGGCUGCGUCUCACAAGCAACUUGUGCUCGCAGCGCGUGAGUCCCUACCUGCCUUUGAGCGUGACCCUGACGAAAUGGGCGCAACCGACCCGUCUUGAAACACGGAACCAAGGA